AGCGAACGUUAGCGGCGGGCCUAACACAUGCAAGUCGAGCGAGAAAGUGGCUUCGGCCAUCAGUAAAGCGGCGGACGGGUGAGUAACACGUAGGUAAUCUUCCCUUGAGCGGGGGACAACGAGCCGAAAGGCUCGCUAAUACCGCAUACGUUUCCAGGAACCCUGGUUCCUGGAAGGAAAGCUUGGCCGCAAGGUCCGGCACUCGAGGAGGAGCCGGCGUGGCAUCAGCUAGUUGGUGGGGUAACGGCCUACCAAGGCGAAGACGCGUAGCUGGUCUGAGAGGAUGAUCAGCCACACUGGGACUGAGACACGGCCCAGACUCCUACGGGAGGCAGCAGUGGGGAAUAUUGGACAAUGGGCGCAAGCCUGAUCCAGCCACGCCGCGUGAGUGAUGAAGGCCUUCGGGUCGUAAAGCUCUGUGGGGAGGGACGAACCGCUGCACGUUCAUAUCGUGCAGCAUGACGGUACCUCCUUAGCAAGCACCGGCUAACUUCGUGCCAGCCGCCGCCGUAACAC
rnacentral:rRNA from 1 species